AAAAAACAACAAAACUCUCUCAAAACUCUCUCCCUCUUUUCGAAAUCCGGCCAAACUCCGAUCGCCGGGCCACUGUGGCAGCCGCGGGUCACCGAUGACGGUGCCGUCGUCCACAGUGGUCAAAAAAUUGAAAGGAGGAGAUUUUUUUGGCCCUUUCAAUUCCCGAGCCUAAUGGGCAUCGAUUUUCAUCGGAAUCUACAAACCUCUGCCACCUAUGGUGGCACGUAUACGAAAAAGGUAAUAUUCGACUUCCUUCCUUUAUUUUAUACUUAUUUCUUUUUUAAAAAAUGAAUAAAAAGAAGAACGAAGAAUGAAAAUAAAAGACCACCUUUAAUUCUUUUCCGUUUUUGAUUGCUCUCUGUGUAUCCGUAUAUUCGUAAAAAAAAUUACACCGAUGAUUCAUGGCUUUUUGUAGCCUUUUACAAAAAAAAUUUAUGCUCUCUUUGUUUUUUUUUUUUUUUACUAUUUUUUUUUCUGCUUUGCAUUGUUGUAGUCCUUUUUUUGUCUUUUUCUUGCAGGUGGAGGAGGCCAACUGUGUACGGAGGCCGACAUGAAGGCUAGGGUUGCGGUGCAAAGCUGUUGGGGGCUAGGGUUUCUUGUGAAAAUGUUUUAAGUGUUUUGAGCUUUGUAAUUUAGGCUUAGGGUUCUUUUAUUUUGGGUCUUAGGUUUGGGUUAUAAAUUG
rnacentral:lncRNA from 1 species